rnacentral:lncRNA from 1 species
AUGAAUUGGAGGCCAUUAUUUUAAGUGAAACAACUCAGACACAGAAAGAAAAAUACUGCAUCUUCUCACUUACAGACAUUAGGCUUCUUUACGAUUUGGUUUUCUUAUUUCUAAAUCGCGCCUCUCUACACCUCUCCUCUGUGCAGACUGCCCCUGUUUCAGCCUCCAGGAGAGUCUGUGACAAGGAGUGGGCUCCCUCUGCAAGGUGCUUGGAUUCCUCUGAAGAAAGAAAGCAAGGAAACAUGAAGUAUGGUGAUGGUGGCAUUUUCAAGGGCGGGUGAUGAAUGGAAACUUCCUGACAUUUCAAGCGACAACAUCUGAAAGGAAAUGGAAUUUUCCUGAAGCACAGGCAGGAGGUCCCCGUCACAAGCUAUUGAUUUGGUGUGCACAUCUUGCAUUUAAUCUGGUGAUUAAUUUGGAGGGAGGCUGCAUGCAUGCUGUGCUUUCAUUUAGUGAGUUUAAAAGCCCACAACUUCUGAUUUAUUUUGCUUCAUUCAUGAGGAGCUGUUUUAUUGCAAAGGGUUGAAUGACAGGUUUCCUGGCAGGCUGUAAAGACAGGUAAAAUUUAAAUAAGGAACAUAAAAUCUUUGAAGACACUCUAUUUAUCUUUUGUAACUUAUUAAUCACACCUAUUGAAGGCUGGUUGACCCUCCGGGAAUAGUUCAGCAAAGAAAAACUAUUGAGCAUGUUAAGCUUGCCAAUCCCUUGCUUUUCUUUUUCUUCAUUUAGAGAUGAGAAAACUAAGGACCUAAAAUAAGACUUUACUUGCUAAGUCAUACCAUGAGUUGGAACUGAAAUUAACUCCUAGCUCUGCCCUGUGACUUCAAGACCACCAAAAUACAAGAAGUAUGUGUAGAGCUCGAAAUAUGUUCCUAAAAUAUUCAAAGUAUUUUAAUAAUAAAUUGAGAAUUAACAUAAGCACUCUCUAACUAACAUCUUAUCAAUGGCUCCCCAUUGCCUGAAGAACAAACUUUAAGAGCCAGCCUCCACUUACUUGGCAAGUUCCAUUUCUUUUCCCCCUUGAACUCACCUCCGUCCAUAUGAAACGACUUUACCUUUUCCCAAGUAGAAUAUGGUCCUUCUUAUUGCUGGGCUGUUGCAAAUGCUGUCCACUUGCCUGGAUGUUUUUCCUGGAAGGAAGUAAAGAAAAAUUAGCUGGGUGUGGUGGUGC